rnacentral:rRNA from 1 species
AUACAGAGGGUGCGAGCGUUAAUCGGAAUUACUGGGCGUAAAGCGCGCGUAGGCGGCUUAUUAAGUCAGAUGAGAAAUCCCCGGGCUCAACCUGGGAACUGCAUCUGAUACUGGUAAGCUAGAGUUUUGGAGAGGGAAGUAGAAUUUCAGGUGUAGCGGUGAAAUGCAUAGAGAUAUGAAGGAAUACCAGUGGCGAAGGCGACUUCCUGGCCAAAAACUGACGCUGAGGUGCGAAAGCGUGGGUAGCAAACGGGAUUAGAAACCCUGGUAGUCC